ACAGACUGGAGACAGACCCUGGAGCGUAGACGAGACAGACUGGAGACAGACCCUGGAGCGUAGACGAGACAGACUGGAGACAGACUGGAGACAGACCCUGGAGCGUAGACGAGACAGACUGGAGACAGACCCUGGAGCGUAGACGAGACAGACUGGAGACAGACCCUGGAGCGUAGACGAGACAGACUGGAGACAGACGCUGGAGACAGACUGGAGACAGACCCUGGAGCGUAGACGAGACAGACUGGAGACAGACUGGAGACAGACCCUGGAGCGUAGACGAGACAGACUGGAGACAGACCCUGGAGCGUAGACGAGACAGACUGGAGACAGACCCUGGAGCGUAGACGAGACAGACUGGAGACAGACAUAGCACCUGUUUUUAUUUCUCUGAUGUAUUGCCUGUUGAUUAAAGUCUUUCGUGAUGUAGAUAUGUGUAUUUAUGAACUACCACAGUUGUGUCGAUGGAGGCUGUUCUUCAUGAUGUAAGAUAGCCACGGUGACAUACUGUUUUUGAAGAUACAGCUCGUCUCCAUGUUAAUACUGUGUAUGUAUGUAGCCACAUCGUUUCCAGAUUAAACUACUGUGUGGAGAACCAUCAGUGGUGGGUCUCUAUACUGCCCUCUCUUGGGACAGAUUCAUAGAUCAUACUGUGCCAUUAUAAUUCCCACUGUCGUUGUUAAUCAGAAUGUCUGUCUACAUCCAUGAUAUACCAGUGUUUUAAAUACAAUAACUACCCAGUCAUCAGUUUUUAAGAUCUUUCUAUUUUCUGCAGCAGCUUUUAUUUAGGGUUGUAAUUCUUGAAGAUGUCUGUUUUGCUUUGUGGUGCCCUGCAAACAUAACAUAUUUCUCCUGCACCUCCUUGAGGUUGCGGUUAGUGUCCUUCGGGACGUUUUAAAAUAUAAUUUCCCUCCAACUGGUUUGACCUGUGAUGUUGAGACGUCUCCGCAGCGACCGGACGGAGGGAACAGACACGUUGCAUAUCCUGUUUCUGUGCGUCAGUUGGUUGGUGCUACUAACGUGACCUGGAUACUCUGACUGCUGGACAACAUGACUUCCUGACAGCUUCGUUCAACGGUAAAGACUCAACAAUGUGAUGAUGCAAGACGUGUUGCGUUUAUAUAUAUAUAGGCAACGUAUCCGCAGACCAGGUCAUCUGGACUAGUUAACGUUACAUUGGGUACAACUAGCAGGUUAUACUGAUGUAGGUUAGGAGCAAAUUAGCUGCGCGUCCUGGAAAACAUUUACGAGUUGCAACAGGAACCAGCAACAUUUUUCUUCCUGAACACAGAGGUUGAGAAGACAGCAGGUUUGUGGCUGCGUGUAACAGAACAACCGGAACAGAGCUGAAGAUUAGAUGGACGGGUGUAGCAGCUAAUCAUCUCCACUAUUUCAGGCUGCGUGUAACAGAACAACCGGGACAGAACAGAGCUGAAGAUUAGAUGGACGGGUUUGCAGGUGACAUACUGAGCGGUGGCCGGGCGUUGCUAGGCGAGGACAGCUCGGUCAUGGCCCGCAUGCAGAAGAAGUUUUGGAAGACGAAGCAGGUUCUGAUCAAGGCCACAGGGAAGAAGGAGGAUGAGUACGUGGUGGCUUCUGAUGCCGACCUCGACGCCAAGCUGGAGUUGUUCCACUCGGUACAGACCACCUCCACUGAGCUGUUGAAGGUGAUUGAGAAAUACCAGCGAAGGAUCACACGUGAGUUACCCCUGUUACUACGGUUACCACUUUAUUAAAGACAGACCAGGAAAUAGACAGGAUAAUACUGUUCUAUUCACAGAGAACCCCACUCUCCCUUCUUGUGUGUUCCAGACCUGUCUCAGGAGGGUUAGGUUAUGUUGAGGUUGGGUUAGGUUAUGUUGAGGUUAUGACAUUCCUGGGUCCAGACCUGUCUCAGGAGGGUUAGGUUAUGUUGAGGUUGGGUUAGGUUAUGUUGAGGUUAUGACAUUCCUGGGUCCAGACCUGUCUCAGGAGGGUUAGGUUAUGUUGAGGUUGGGUUAGGUUAUGUUGAGGUUGGGUUAGGUUAUGUUGAGGUUAUGACAUUCCUGGGUCCAGACCUGUCUCAGGAGGGUUAGGUUAUGUUGAGGUUGGGUUAGGUUAUGUUGAGGUUAUGACAUUCCUGGGUCCAGACCUGUCUCAGGAGGGUUAGGUUAUGUUGAGGUUGGGUUAGGUUAUGUUGAGGUUAUGACAUUCCUGGGUCCAGACCUGUCUCAGGAGGGUUAGGUUAUGUUGAGGUUGGGUUAGGUUAUGUUGAGGUUAUGACAUUCCUGUGUUCCAGACCUGUCUCAGGAGGGUUAGGUUAUGUUGAGGUUGGGUUAGGUUAUGUUGAGGUUAUGACAUUCCUGUGUUCCAGACCUGUCUCAGGAGGGUUAGGUUAUGUUGAGGUUGGGUUAGGUUAUGUUGAGGUUAUGACAUUCCUGUGUUCCAGACCUGUCUCAGGAGGGUUAGGUUAUGUUGAGGUUGGGUUAGGUUAUGUUGAGUUUAUGACAUUCCUGGGUCCAGACCUGUCUCAGGAGGGUUAGGUUAUGUUGAGGUUGGGUUAGGUUAUGUUGAGGUUAUGACAUUCCUGUGUUCCUGACCCGUCUCAGGAGGGUUAGGUUAUGUUGAGGUUGGGUUAGGUUAUGUUGAUGUUAUGACAUUCCUGUGUUCCAGACCUGUCUCAGGAGGGUUAGGUUAUGUUGAGGUUGGGUUAGGUUAUGUUGAGGUUAUGACAUUCCUGUGUUCCAGACCUGUCUCAGGAGGGUUAGGUUAUGUUGAGGUUGGGUUAGGUUAUGUUGAGGUUAUGACAUUCCUGUGUUCCAGACCUGUCUCAGGAGGGUUAGGUUAUGUGGAGGUUGGGUUAGGUUAUGUUGAGGUUAUGACAUUCCUGUGUUCCAGACCUGUCUCAGGAGGGUUAGGUUAUGGUGAGGUUGGGUUAGGUUAUGUUGAGGUUAUGACAUUCCUGUGUUCCAGACCUGUCUCAGGAGGGUUAGGUUAUGUUGAGGUUGGGUUAGGUUAUGUUCAGGUUAUGACAUUCCUGUGUUCCAGACCUGUCUCAGGAGGGUUAGGUUAUGGUGAGGUUGGGUUAGGUUAUGUUGAGGUUAUGACAUUCCUGUGGUCCAGACCUGUCUCAGGAGGGUUAGGUUAUGUUGAGGUUGUGACAUUCCUGUGUUCCAGACCUGUCUCAGGAGGGUUAGGUUAUGUUGAGGUUGGGUUAGGUUAUGUUGAGGUUAUGACAUUCCUGUGUUCCAGACCUGUCUCAGGAGGGUUAGGCUAUGUUGAGGUUGGGUUAUGUUGAGGUUAUGACAUUCCUGGGUCCAGACCUAUCUCAGGAGGGUGAGGUUAUGACAUUCCUGGGUCCAGACCUGUCUCAGGAGGGUUAGGUUAUGACAUUCCUGUGUUCCAGACCUGUCUCAUGAGGGUUAGGUUAUGUUGAGGUUAUGACAUUCCUGGGUCCAGACCUGUCUCAGGAGGGUUAGGUUAUGUUGAGGUUGGGUUAGGUUAUGUUGAGGUUAUGACAUUCCUGUGUUCCAGACCUGUCUCAGGAGGGUUAGGCUAUGUUGAGGUUGGGUUAUGUUGAGGUUAUGACAUUCCUGUGUUCCAGACCUGUCUCAGGAGGGUUAGGUUAUGUUGAGGUUAUGACAUUCCUGUGUUCCAGACCUGUCUCAUGAGGGUUAGGUUAUGUUGAGGUUAUGACAUUCCUGGGUCCAGACCUGUCUCAGGAGGGUUAGGUUAUGUUGAGGUUGGGUUAGGUUAUGUUGAGGUUAUGACAUUCCUGUGUUCCAGACCUGUCUCAGGAGGGUUAGGCUAUGUUGAGGUUGGGUUAUGUUGAGGUUAUGACAUUCCUGUGUUCCAGACCUGUCUCAGGAGGGUUAGGCUAUGUUGAGGUUAGGUUAUGUUGAGGUUAUGACAUUCCUGGGUCCAGACCUGUCUCAGGAGGGUUAGGUUAUGUUGAGGUUGGGUUAGGUUAUGUUGAGGUUAUGACAUUCCUGUGUUCCAGACCUGUCUCAGGAGGGUUAGGCUAUGUUGAGGUUGGGUUAGGUUAUGUUGAGGUUAUGACAUUCCUGGGUCCAGACCUGUCUCAGGAGGGUUAGGUUAUGUUGAGGUUGGGUUAGGUUAUGUUGAGGUUAUGACAUUCCUGUGUUCCAGACCUGUCUCAGGAGGGUUAGGCUAUGUUGAGGUUGGGUUAUGUUGAGGUUAUGACAUUCCUGUGUUCCAGACCUGUCUCAGGAGGGUUAGGUUAUGUUGAGGUUGGGUUAGGUUAUGUUGAGGUUAUGACAUUCCUGUGUUCCAGACCUGUCUCAGGAGGGUUAGGUUAUGUUGAGGUUGGGUUAGGUUAUGUUGAGGUUAUGACAUUCCUGUGUUCCAGACCUGUCUCAGGAGGGUUAGGUUAUGGUGAGGUUGGGUUAGGUUAUGUUGAGGUUAUGACAUUCCUGUGUUCCAGACCUGUCUCAGGAGGGUUAUGUUGAGGUUGGGUUAGGUUAUGACAUUCCUGUGUUCCAGACCUGUCUCAGGAGGAGAAUGAGUUGGGGAUGUUUCUGAGGUGCCAGGCAGAACACGACCGCACCAAGGCUGGCAACAUGAUGGAUGCAACUAGCAAGGCCCUGUGUGCCUCGGCCAAGCAGAGGCUGGUCCUGUGCCCGCCCCC